UACGGGGGGGGCAAGCGUUGUUCGGAAUUACUGGGCGUAAAGAGCGUGUAGGCGGCUAGGUAGGUCCGUUGUGAAAACUCAAGCUCAACCUCGAGACGCCGGUGGAAACCAUCUAGCUAGAGUCCGGAAGAGGAGAGUGGAAUUCCUGGUGUAGCGGUGAAAUGCGCAGAUAUCAGGAAGAACACCCGUGGCGAAGGCGGCUCUCUGGGGACGUGACUGACGCUGAGACGCGAAAGCGUGGGG
rnacentral:rRNA from 1 species